ensembl:misc_RNA Y_RNA Y RNA
AGCUGGUCUGAUGGUAGUGGGUUAUCAGAACUUAUUAACAUUAGUGUCACUGAAGUUGGUAUACAACCCCCCACGCUAAGUUUGUCUGGCUUUAA